AAUUCGAAGCAACGCGAAGAACUUACCAGGCCUUGACAUGCAGAGAACUUUCCAGAGAUGGAUUGGUGGCCUUCGGGAACUCUGACACAGGUGCUGCAUGGCUGUCGUCAGCUCGUGUCGUGAGAUGUUGGGUUAAGUCCGUAACGAGCGCAACCCUUGUCCUUAGUUACCAGCACGUUAUGGUGGGCACUCUAAGGAGACUGCCGGUGACAAACCGGAGGAAGGUGGGGAUGGCGUCAAGUCAUCAUGGCCCUUACGGCCUGGGCUACACACGUGCUACAAUGGUCGGUACAAAGGGUUGCCAAGCCGCGAGGUGGAGCUAAUCCCAUAAAACCGAUCGUAGUCCGGAUCGCAGUCUGCAACUCGACUGCGUGAAGUCGGAAUCGCUAGUAACCGUGAAUCAGAAUGUCACGGUGAAUACGUUCCCGGGCCUU
rnacentral:rRNA from 1 species